UCGGGAAUUUUGGGCAAUGGGCGAAAGCCUGACGCAGCAACGCCGCGUGAGUGAUGAAGGCCUUCGGGUCGUAAAGCUCUGUCGGAGGGAACGAAUGCUCCUGAAGUUAACAGCUUCAGGAGGUGACGGUACCCUCAAAGGAAGCACCGGCUAACUCUGUGCCAGCAGCCGCGGUAAUACGAAGGGAGCUAGCGUUGUUCGGAAUCACUGGGCGUAAAGCGCACGUAGGCGGAUUUGUCAGUCAGGGGUGAAAUCCCGGGGCUCAACCUCGGAACUGCCCUUGAUACAGCAAGUCUUGAGUUCGAGAGAGGUGGGUGGAAUUCCUAGUGUAGAGGUGAAAUUCGUAGAUAUUAGGAAGAACACCGGUGGCGAAGGCGGCCCACUGGCUCGAUACUGACGCUGAGGUGCGAAAGCGUGGGGAGCAAACAGGAUUAGAUACCCCCGUAGUCCCUGAGCGGGCUGGCAAGGCGCAU
rnacentral:rRNA from 1 species